rnacentral:tRNA from 1 species
CAUUUCCCUUACACCGAAAAGUCGUCUGUGCAAAUCGGACUGUUCUG